rnacentral:misc_RNA from 1 species
AGCAGCCGCGGUAAUUCCAGCUCCAAUAGCGUAUAUUAAAGUUGUUGCAGUUAAAAAGCUCGUAGUUGAAUUUCGGGAUCAGUUGGUCGGUCGUGCCUCGGUACGUACUGGUCAAAUUGAUUCCUACCUUCUGACGAACCACGAUGUCAUUAAUUUGGUGUCGCGGGAAAUCAGGACUGUUACUUUGAAAAAUUAGAGUGUUUAAAGCAGGCUCGCGCUUGAAUACAUUAGCAUGGAAUAAUGAAAUAGGACGUUUGAUUCUAUUUUGUUGGUUUCUAGGAUCGACGUAAUGAUUAAUAGGGAUAGUUGGGGGCAUUAGUAUUCAAUUGUCAGAGGUGAAAUUCUUGGAUUUAUUGAAGACUAACUACUGCGAAAGCAUUUGCCAAGGAUGUUUUCAUUAAUCAAGAACGAAAGUUAGGGGGAUCGAAGACGAUCAGAUACCGUCGUAGUCUUAACCAUAAACUAUGCCGACUAGGGAUCGGAUGAUGUUAAUUUUUUAAUGACUCAUUCGGCGCCUUAA